ACCAACACAGUCUAGGAAAUCCAAACCACCAAACAAGUGAAAAUCCCUAAUAAAACCCUAUUUCUCAAACAUACAUUAUCCUGUACAAGCUGCUUGAUCAACUAUACAAGUGCAAAUCCCACUGCGUACUUGUAAGUGUAUUCCGGCCUGUGUAAAUAUCAGUAUUCCUCUGUAAUUGUCAUAUUUUAUAUGCAUAACUCUUGUAUCUAUCUUCCUUGAAUACUGAAAAUUAGGUAAAUUAGAAUGCCUGACUUGAUUUCUUGACAUUGUAUGUUUACUCUGUAUUAUUCGUUCCCAAUUAAAAUUAGGUAAAUUAGAAUGCCUGACUUGAUUUCUUGACAUUGUAUGUUUACUCUGUAUUAUUCGUUCCCAAUUAAAAUUAGGUAAAUUAGAAUGCCUGACUUGAUUUCUUGACAUUGUAUGUUUACUCUGUAUUAUUCGUUCCCAAUUUACUGGUUCAAUAGAUAAAUGUGUUCGGGAGAAGCAGAUGACAGCAGAUAAAUGGCUUGCUAUCAUUUUUAGUGCUAAAGUGUAAAUGAAACUAAAUUCACACAAACCUAAUCAUUUUAAACUGAAUUUAAGUUAAAACGGAACCCAUUAUUGGUUCUUUUGCCGUUUCAAAGCCAUAUCGAGCAGUAAUUAACCGAGCUGAACCAUUUACUAAGUGAGUCUCAGUGAAAUAAUAAAUUUAUACAAGUUUUUAAGUUAUCAGGUGAUGUAUUCUAACAUGAUAGGAAUAAAUUUUACAGUUUAUAUCUACGUUUAACAAAGACAAGGCUGCUGAUUAUGUUUAAUCUAUAAGUAGUUGUGUUAUUCUGACCUUGAUUAUUCAUAUUCACCUAUUUCAGUGAAAGGGUAGUGAUUUGAUUGAUCUCAAUGUUUAGAUUAAGUCUUCAUUGCAAAUGGUGUUGAUCAAUACUUCAAUAGCAAACGUUUCAGUUUAAAGAUUCAGUUCCAACUACUUUUAUAAUCAGAAUGUUGUAUACUGCAUUCCAGUGACUUGCAAAGAUUAUUUAUAAGAUAAUUUGUAUCCGUCUUGUGUGUAAAUUUACAUCUGGAUAUAAUAUUUUUAAAGAUAUUUUUAGAUAGAAAUUGAACAUUCUUGAAUGAACCAAUUAUUUUAAAACCUAUCAGUUUGGUUGGGUUUGGUUUUUUUUUUAGAACUGAGGUUCUAUGGUCACCCUUACUUUUAGUAUAUAACAAAGAAAUAAAGGGGGUGGUGUUGCUGCUUGCCACGAUCUUGACAUUUACAUAGGAAUUUUGAAUUUGCAUCAUAAUUGCCACACAUUUAUCAACAUAUUUCCAGUGUAUCCUAUAUGGCUAUGUAUCAUAAGCAUAAGAGGGAAUGUCGAAAGCUUAUGGACUUGUUAGGUCUAUAUUUAAUACUAGUUGAAGGUCCAGAUUUAUAAUUUUAAUAUUUAUAAGAAAGGUCUUGAGUUGAUUUUUGUUAAAAACAGAAAAUUAACCUAGUAUUUUUUAUUUUUUUAGUUAAUGGUAAUGGUAGAAUAAUUUGACAACUAUAAAAAGAUUUGGUACAUAUAGUAAGAGAGUAGAAGAGCUCAAUGCUUGACAAUUACAUGUAUUUAGUAAACUGUAAUGCACUUAUAAUGAAUAUAUUUGAAACUUGUACAAAAGUUCGUGCAUUGCAUAUCUUUUUAAUUAAAAUAAGAUAAUAUAAAGAGAAAAAACAUUAUGUUGUGUUAUGUAGAAUCGAGCCUUAGAUUUUAAGUAGAAUUUCAAUAUUCCUCAUACUUUUAAAAGUUAUUUUAUUUUUAUAAUAUCGAGAUAUCCACACAUUAACUUUUGGUAGUACUUUCGGUAUGAUAUUUUUUACUAUGCAAACUUUGACCUCUGUCUAAUUUUGCUAAUAAAUGGAGAAGUAGAUGUGGUGGCAUCAUUAUAAAUUACUAGGGGGAAAAGUUGGUUGUACUUUAUUAACCAAUUUGUACUUAGAGACGAUUAAGGUCCAACAAAUGUAAAUAAAGACAUAUGCUGGACUCUUGACCUUAGUUAUAUAUAGUUGAACUGGACAUCAACAAUGAUUGAACUGAAUGAAAAUAAUGUUAAAUCAUUGAAAUAUUUACUUGUUAUUUUAAGUGUCAAAUGGUGAACCCUAAAGUAACUUUUACAAUUAUAUGUGACUUAAUAAGUUUAACUACAUAUGUUUGUACAUAUAUAAGUGAGGUUCAUCAUGCAGCUGUUGAACCUUAGCCGUCUGUGUUAAACUGUAGGUUUAUGUUCCUUAUUGUACAAACAAAGAAUACAUAAAAGAACAGUGCAAUUUAAUCAAAGAUAUUACUAAUUAAUUUGAUAUUUCUAUAUUGUCAGUCUGAAUAUUUAACGAUGGAAUCAUGGCCAUUAGAAUGUUUUUAAGUAAAUGUGACUAAUAUGAGAAUAAUCUUAUCACAAAAACCACUAAUUUGGUGUGGCAAAAAAAAAAAAAAAAAAAAAACCACUAAUUUGGUAUUGUUCUUGUUAGCUAGGGGCUGAGGGCAAAAAAGGCUAGAAUAGGGAUUAGUGACUCGGGUUGACCUAGCAAUGCAGUUUGUAAAAUUUUGUGUGUGAUUACUAUAUUAUAGUUUGAUUAUAUAUCUGGAUGAUCUGAAUUUUAAAGCUAUUUGCACUCAAAUCGCAAUUAAUCUUCUGUGUAUGUUUAUAUUAAUAUGAACUGCCACCCGGAUCCGGUCUACUUCUCGUUUACAUUAGAUAGAUAAUUACAGUAUUGAUUGCCAGAAAAGAAUUGGGGACGGGUAUAACUCCUUUUUUUGACCCUGCACUGCGUUCUUAUUUGCGGUUUUGGGAUAGUGUGAUGGGUAUGAGAAGGAUCCUGCUGCAGAAAUAUAUAUAUUUUGCAAAUUGUGGUGUUGAUGAAAUAUACGCGAAACUGAAUAUUGACUUUAAACAGUUGUUUUCGCAAUCUUUCUCGUUGAUAAUAUACUAGCUUCAUAUUUAGUCUGUCCUCAUGUAUGUACAAAAACUGAUCCCUCACAAAAAUUCGGGGAUGCAGUAACAGUCUAUCUAAUAUACAGUUCUGUUGGGAAAGAACUAGUGGUUGAGCACAUUGAGAAUUAAUACUCGUGUCUUGAUCAAUGAUCGGACUAGACAGUCUAAUUGUUCUUCACAUUCUUGCAUAUUCAUGUCCAAUGCCGUCAGACAUUUCUGAACGUCUUGUGUUUGUGUUAUAUCACUUUUUUUGCUUGAUUUCUUGCUGAUAGCUUCUAAAGCCAUAUCCAUGUUGUGAACUUGGUUGAUAAUUUCUUCUGUGUCCUCUUCACAAUGUACACGCUUGGACUGUGUUGACUUGAAAACCUUUGACCAUGUGCUUUUUGUCGAUGCUUCCUUUGCAGGACAGAUGGAUGAGAAGAUAGACUCGAAAACUGAGAUGCUGACUUCUUCGACUUCCCUUAGAAGGCUCACGAUAGCAGGAGUCUCGAUGCUUUUGUUAAUUUUGGACUUCUUAGAACCAGCAAAGCACUUGGAGAGCAUUCUGUUUGCCUUUUUCUUACAUACCAGGUAGCUUGCGAUUCUGCUUGAUACAUCAGUUUGUCUUCUACGUAGAGAGGAUUCUAGAUCUUGAACUGAAUCUCUCAUAUGCGAGAGAGCAUCUUUUGAGGUGCUGCACUGAUCCAAUAACCUAAUGGACCCGCAAAGAUAUCUUCUCCGCAGCUCAAACGAUCUUGCUGUGCGGCUUGCGAUUGGAUCAAAUCUUCUACACACUCAUAUAAGUCCUUGAAGAGCGGAUAAUUUGUCGCAUUUGGAUACUGUCGAUGAGGAUGUCCCUUCCGGGGUCCUUAAUCUGCGCAAGUGCUCCUCAACAGUGGCUGUCAAGAGAUGAGAUCUGGAUGGUAAGCUGAUGGAACGAGAAUGAGCACUAACUUUUGUGGUUGCAAUUGAGGCUGCCAUUUUUAUUUGCAGGAGGAAUUAGAUGCCAAUGAAAAUCCUGAACUCAAGGUUUGUUUGAUUGAACUCUCACCUUGGCACCUUUUUAUAAACUAUGAGGAGACAAAAGGAAUCAACUUAAUUUCCUUCAUGUGCCGAACAGAGAAACAGGCCAAGGUAACUAGGGGCUGAGGGCAAAACAGGCUAGAAUAGGGAUUAGUGACUCGGGUUGACCUAGCAAUGCAGUUUGUAAAAUUUUGUGUGUGAUUACUAUAUUAUAGUUUGAUUAUAUAUCUGGAUGAUCUGAAUUUUAAAGCUAUUUGCACUCAAAUCGCAAUUAAUCUUCUGUGUAUGUUUAUAUUAAUAUGAAUUGCCACCCGGAUCCGGUCUACUUCUAGUUUACAUUAGAUAGAUAAUUACAGUAUUGAUUGCGAGAAAAGAAUUGGGGACGGGUAUAACUCCUUUUUUUGACCCUGCACUGCGUUCUUAUUUGCGGUUUUGGGAUAUGUGAUGGGUAUGAGAAGGAUCCUGUUGCAGAAAUAUAUAUAUUUUGCAAAUUGUGUUGUUGAUGAAAUAUACGCGAAACCGAAUAUUGACUUUAAACAGUUGUUUUCGCAAUCUUUCUCGUUGAUAAUAUACUAGCUUCACAUACAGUCUGUACUCAUGUAUGUACAAAAACUGAUCCCUCACAAAAAUUCGGGGAUGCAGUAAUAGUCUAUCUAAUAGACAAUUCUGUUGGAAAAGAACUAGUGGUUGAGCACAUUGAGAAUUAAUACUCGUGUCUUGAUCAAUGAUCGGACUAGACAGUCUAAUUGUUCUUCACAUUCUUGCAUAUUCAUGUCCAAUGCCGUCAGACAUUUCUGAACGUCUUCUGUUUCUGUGAUAUCACUUUUUUUGCUUGAUUUCUUGCUGAUAGCUUCUAAAGCCAUAUCCAUGUUGUGAACUUGGUUGAUAAUUUCUUCUGUGUCCUCUUCACAAUGUACACGCUUGGACUGUGUUGACUUGAAAACCUUUGACCAUGUGCUUUUUGUCGAUGCUUCCUUUGCAGGACAGAUGGAUGAGAAGAUAGACUCGAAAACUGAGAUGCUGACUUCUUCGACUUCCCUUAGAAGGCUCACGAUAGCAGGAGUCUCGAUGCUUUUGUUAAUUUUGGACUUCUUAGAACCAGCAAAGCACUUGGAGAGCAUUCUGUUUGCCUUUUUCUUACAUACCAGGUAGCUUGCGAUUCUGCUUGAUACAUCAGUUUGUCUUCUACGUAGAGAGGAUUCUAGAUCUUGAACUGAAUCUCUCAUAUGCGAGAGAGCAUCUUUUGAGGUGCUGCACAGAUCCAAUAACCUAAUGGACCCGCAAAGAAUAUCUUCUCCGCAGCUCAAACGAUCUUGCUGUGCGGCUUGCGAUUGGAUCAAAUCUUCUACACACUCAUAUAAGUCUUGAAGAGCGGAUAAUUUGUCGCAUUUGGAUACUGUCGAUGAGGAUGCCCC
rnacentral:lncRNA from 1 species